CCUGGGUCCUGCUGAGUCUCAAUACUUGCAGAUCAGCUGCUUUAUAAAAAUCUUUCACCUGCUGUUUUUCCUAUGCAGUUCAUAUUUUCGUUGUUUACAAAUGACAUCUCUUCUAAAUUUCAGUUUGUCAUUGAUGUUAGAAAGAGUUAGCUGAUUUUAUGGAUGGUUUUGUAUCCAGCGAUGUUGCUGGCUCGAAGGAAUUCUAGCAAUUCAUCCUGAUGCUCCUGAGCUUUUCCGUAACGAUGUGUUUCUUCCCGUCCGUCCUUAGACUCUUGCUUCCAUUGCUUAACUCUGCUUUGGCUGGGACCCUGAAUGAUGAGGAGUGAAGACAGGACGGAGACCUGAGCAGAAGCUUUCCAGGGGGUUGCUAUAGGCUUUGUGCCAUUUAUCAGGUUAGGGAGGUUUCCCUGUGUUCCUAGGUGAGGGACAUUGAAUUUUACCACUUUUUCUCAUCUAGUGACCUGACCACAUGAUAUUCCCCUAUUGAGUCUGAGGGUUAUUCAGUGUUGUGGUUUGGAACCGGAAGGUCCCUGGAAAGCUCGUGUGCUGCGGGCUUGGUCCCCAAGGCUGCGUUGUUCAGGGGUGGGGCCUGUGGGAGCCUACUGGAUUGUGAGAGCUCUGAUCUCAUCAGUGGAUUAGUCCAUGGAUAGAUUCAUAAAUGACCAGACUAGGGGAAGGGGUGGAAGCUGCAAGAGGUGGGGCCUAGCUUGAGGAAGUGGGUCACUGGGGGCAUGCCCUUGAAGAGGACACCUUGUCCCUAGCUCCCCUCCCUCUCUCUCUGCUUCCUGGCCACCUUGAGCUAACCAGCUCAGCUCCACCAAAGGCCCCUGCCAUGAUGCGCUGCCUCACUACAGGCCCAGAGAUAACAGCACCAUGUGGCCAUGGACUGAAACCUCC
rnacentral:lncRNA from 1 species